UGGGCAACCUGCCCCAGACUCAGGGAUAACCCCGGGGAAACCGGGGCUAAUACCCGAUACUCCGAUCGAACCACAUGGCUCGAUCGGGAAAGCUCCGACGGUCUGGGAUGGGCCCGCGGCCUAUCAGCUUGUUGGUGGGGUAACGGCCUACCAAGGCGACGACGGGUAGCUGGUCUGAGAGGACGACCAGCCACACUGGAACUGAGAUACGGUCCAGACUCCUACGGGA
rnacentral:rRNA from 1 species